UGUACCUUUUAUUUUCUGAGAGGUGAAGCUAAGCCUGUUUCCUGGAGUUAUUUGAGUUAAAGUUGAGUUUUGCAAAGUGAAAACUCAACUAAACAGUCUGUAAAAGUGAACUUGACAAAACACAUAUUUUGGUUUGUCCCACUAACUUUCCUUAACUGCUUUUCUUUCUGCCUGUUCUUAGUACUACUUUGAGCAAAACCCCGCCCGUUCAGAAACACCUGUACUGUGGGGGGGUCGAUGUACCUGAGGGAAAACAUUCGCCCCUCCAUCACGAACCCCUUUGCUGGCGGAAAAGGGACUAUUGCAUGUUGUAGUGGAGUGAGACACAAAGGGAAAUCGUCCUGCAGAGACCUCAGAUCUGAACUUUCCAUGCCUCUCUGUUCCAAUCUUUCUUUUCGGCAGGGACGGUGCGACCCAAACGACCCGGAAGUCCUGAGAAAGGGGGCGGAGUCGACUGAGAACAGCUGCCUUUGUUUGCCAUAAAAACCAGGGUCAAGAAAUCACCCCCGCCUUCCUCGUCACCUUGGCUUUUCAUUAGGAUCUUAAAAUAGCUGCAGAUUAUCAGCGAGGCGGCGACACCAGGUCCCCGCGAGAUACAAUGCCUCCCCAAAAGGAACAGCCAAUGGUUGAGCAGCAUCUUUGUGAAACCGCCAAUAAGAGCAGGCGUAGCAGCCCUUUUUGCUGCUUUCUCGGAUAAGAAAGGCUCCGUCCGGCUUCCCGAUGAGCAGCUCCUCCGCCUGCGUCCUGUUCAGGUCCCCGACGAACCAGCUCUUCUCAUCGUAGUGAGG